rnacentral:rRNA from 1 species
UACGUAGGGUGCAAGCGUUGUCCGGAAUUAUUGGGCGUAAAGAGCUCGUAGGCGGUCUGUCGCGUCUGCUGUGAAAACUCAGGGCUUAACCCUGAGCUUGCAGUGGGUACGGGCAGACUAGAGUGCGGUAGGGGGAGACUGGAAUUCCUGGUGUAGCGGUGAAAUGCGCAGAUAUCAGGAGGAACACCGGUGGCGAAGGCGGGUCUCUGGGCCGAUACUGACGCUGGAGGAGCGAAAGCGUGGGGAGCGAACAGG